UGAGGAAUAUUGGGCAAUGCCCGCAAGGGUGACCCAGCAACGCCGCGUGGAGGAUGAAUGUCGUAAGAUUGUAAACUCCUGUUAGAGGGGAAGAAUAGUACCGGUUGGACCGGUAUAUGACUGUACCCUCAGAGAAAGCCCCGGCUAACUACGUGCCAGCAGCCGCGGUAAUACGUAGGGGGCAAGCGUUGUCCGGAUUUAUUGGGGGUAAAGGGCGCGCAGGCGGGAUAAAAAGUCAGUGGUGAAAUCCUACAGCUUAACUGUAGAACUGCCUUUGAUACUUUUAUUCUUGAGUUCGGGAGAGAGAGACGGAAUUCCAGGUGUAGUGGUGAAAUACGGAGAUAUCUGGAAGAACACCAGUUGCGAAGGCGGUCUCUUGGUCCGACACUGACGCUGAGGCGCGAAAGCGUGGGGAGC
rnacentral:rRNA from 1 species